AUCCUCAUUUUUCAACUACGAGUAGGUUUCAUGAAUCUAUUCGCGGCCUUAUUAUAGAGAAGAGGACCAAAGUUGAAUGACCCUCAGAUCAACUUCUCAAUUUUAAAAAAUGCCUCGUCUCUCUUCCGUUCUCUGCUCUGGGGUCUUAUAUAGGUAGGAAGAACAGGGGUUUUAGGCGUGGGUGUACUUAAUCUCUCUGAACCCAUUUCCUGAAAACUUGCACAAUGUGUCAUGAGUUUCAAAUGCUCACUUUCCCCAUCUCCAGUACCCAAACUACAGACACACCAGCAAAGUUCAACAGUCCUCAUAAGCUAGAGAAUACACCUCCACGCCAUCCUGUGCGCACACACACACACCCCCAACUGUCAUAGCAGAAAUUGUGUUUUCUUGUGCAUUUAGUAAUGCUUUUCAAAAGGUAGUUUUUUUAAAGCAUUGACUAAAUAAUAUCUAAUACUUUGGAAAGUACUUUUUUUAAUCCUACUGAGAUAAAAGGGCACUAAUAAGGUUAGGCAUCCUGAAAAUACCAACAAAUUUGGAAACCAUCAUGAUGAAUCCCAUAACUUUUUUUUUUUUUUUGGGGCUAUGGAGGGAUGUGGGAUGUCAGUUCUCAGACCAGGGAUCGAACUUGGGCCACUGCAGUGAAAGUGCCAAGUCCUAUCCACUGGGCCACCAGGGAACUCCUAAUUUAUCUAAGUGAGCACAUUUUUAUUUAUUUAUUUAUUUUUGCUUUUUAGAGCCGCACCCGUGGCAUAUGGAAGUUCCCAGGCUAGGGGUCGAAUCAGAGCUACAGCUGCCUGCCUUCGCCACAGUCACAGCAACACGGGAUCCGAGCCAAACCUGUGACCUACAUACACCACAGCUCACACCAAUGCCAGAUCCCUGACCCACUGGGCGAGGCCAGGGAUCAAACCCGCAUCCUCAUGGAUGCUAGUCGGGUUCGUUAACUGCUGAGCCACAACAGGAACUCCCACGUUCCAUUUAUUAAGCUGCAUCCAGCCCUGUGAUAGAAGUAGAACUCUGCCCAGUCACCAAAAGAGGCCUCAGCAGGGGGUGUUUUGCCCAGUUUUACUCAGCGGGUAGAGAGUGGAUCUGAUUAGGAACUUGGGCCAUGCCUCUUAACUCUGCCUCUCCCAGAGUCUCCUAAUUCUGAAAGACUCCUUCCAGAGGCACACCACCACCGACAAGCCCCCAGUGCAAAGUAACAUCUAGAAGCAGAGAGGGCCCUUUGGGAUGCAGUGGGAUUAAGAGCUGUGUGACCUAAGCAAGCUGUCAAACACGUGAAGUCAAGGACUCGGUUGUACCAAGAUACAGAAGAGCAGUUACAGAGAAUCCCCCAGUUCUUCUCCCAGUCUGAGCAAGUGCGCUUCAGGAAGGGUCUGGGGAUGCUCUCCCUCAUCCGGGCCAGUCCUUCAUCCCGCUGGGCUGGCUCCCAUCACCCCACAGGACUAUUAUUUUUUCUUUCUUCUUGUCUUUCCAGGGCCGCACCUGCGGCACAUGGAGGUUCUCAAGCUAGGGGUCUAAUCGGAGGUGUAGCCGCCAGCCUACGCCAGAGCCGCAGCAACACAAGAUCUGAGCCUCCUCUGUGACCUACACCACAGCUUGUGGCAACGCCAGAUCUUCAACCCACGCAGUGAGGCCAAGGAUCGAACCCAACCUCAUGGUUCCUAGUCGGACUCAUUAACCAUUGAUCCACGACAGGAACUCCAGGACCACUGUUUUUUCUGAGCUCUCCUGGUUUCUCCUGCUUGUUGAUGUCCUAGUAAAAUGCAAUCUCAUGGUUGGCCUAUCAGGUACCAUCAAGAACCGCUCUUAGUUUAGAAAUGCUGGGCCUCUGGAAGCCUUGGAUGCGAGGCGGUCCGUAUCACAGGCAUUCGCCCACCUCUGCAAAGCGGAAGGAGAAACGUUCUGUCUGCCAUUGAGUGACGAGACACAGAUUCUUGGUGCCUGCCCACACACCCUGCCCUUCAAAACAAGCCUGCCAAUCAACCAGGGCCCCCCUGGCUCUCAACACUCCGGCCUAGACUCAGCCUCAGCAUCCUUGUCCACUGGACUGUGAUGCUUGGCAUCCAUGGUGACACUGAGUAGCCACUUUUGUCCUAUAAAAACACUAGUAAAGACGAGCUGGCUACUUCCUAUCACUUUUGUGAAAGAUAAUGUAGGCAAACCUGGUAGAAUUUCCACCUGCUUCUUCAAGCUCAAAUACUAGAAUCAAACGUCUUCCAGACAUUGUAAUCAAUUAAUACUGUGAUACAGCUGGUCAAAUUACUCUUUUUAAUGUGCGUACGCUUAAUUACCAUCCACUUUUACAUCUAAAAAAUUCACUCUAAGUUGAGUGUUUCUAUCAAGAUGUUGGCUCUCUCCAGCACAGUCCAUUAGAUUGAUAAAAAUCCAUUUUAAAAUUUAGAGUCUGGCCCAGCAAUCCCACACCUGGGAAUCCAUCCCAAUGAAAUAAAAGCAUCCGUCUGGACAUCGAACAAAGAUGCUUAGUGUAUCACUCUGGGUGGCCGGGUGGGAGUGUGGGAAGAAACCCCUGGAGGCUAAAUGGAUGCCCCUCUGACACGUUCAAGAUGGGGCAGGACUGGGUAAAUCAUGGUACAUCCACACCAGGGACUAUCAGGCCUCAGCGGGAUGCAAAAAGACAGACAACGAGCAGUACGCAUAAAAUGAUUCCAUGUUGUAUCAAGCACAACUACCCCAAAGAAAAAGCUUUUAUAUCUAUAUAUGAAAAAUUUAGAAGGAAACAGAUUAGAUUGUUGGCAUGUUGCACCUCAUAAGGAGGGGUUGACUGGAGGGGAGGGGUAAAGUGACAGAGGGUGGCACUAAGCCGAAAUGGGAUGGACAUGCUCUAAGAUGAACCUUACCAGAAGGUGCACUGACUCACACCAAGAAUGAGCCCAGCAAAGAGCCGGGCGGGCCUCACCCUGUCUGAGGCAUUACGGAGGCAUCUUCAUACAGAAGGACUUCCAUCCUCACACCUCAGGGAGGCCUGGCGUAUCACGGUCCCCAUUAUACGAGUGACAGACAGGAGGCUCAGGGACCACACAGCUGAUAAAGAGAGCCCAUCAGCCCUGCUUCAAAAACGACAUGCCUUUCUACAAUCUAACUAGUCUAUGAGAUUAAACGAGGGGGUAAAAAAACUAAGCCAAAAUGAGUCUUACCAAUUUGGGAGAAAUCUAGCAGGGAAAACGGGCCAAAGGCAUCUUUGCCCGCAUUCCGCGGGGCACGCGCCACCUUUUCCCCCACUGGAGGAGCACAGCUGUGACCCACAGGGCCUGGGGGGCGCCACUCAGCACAGGGGCAGCGGCAGACAUGCCCUUCCUCCAGUCCCGCCUGGAAGCCAAGGCCGUCACAGGAAGCGGGCACCUCUUUUCACCAGAACCCCUUUCCCUGAGCAGUCGGGAUUCACAUCACUCCCUGGAAGGUGAGCUGUGGCGGGGGCGCCGGGGGAGGGGGCGCAGGCACCUGUCGGGCGUGGGGGCUUCCGUGCCCGGGGCCCAGCACUCUGCCUCACUCACAGCAGCUGGUGACCUAUAACCUCUCUUAAAUGAGUGAAUUCGGGUGCUGGGUAAAUACGGGCUGCUCAUCCUUGUGUAAAACGGGGAGGAAGUUACUCCCGAGGGAAUUCUGUGUUUUGGAUAAAGAUAACGUUCACCAUAACAAUAAAAUCGGCAAAAACAGUCAAUGGCCGCAUAUCAAGGUCCUAUUCAAGAGGCACUUGCUAGACCCUUAACGUACACAGCGCGUGGGAAUCUCACAGGAACACUGCACCGCGCAGGAGCGUGGGCGCCUGUGCAGCAGGAGGACCCGGCCAGCCAGGCGGGCGUCACAUGGAAACUCUGCGCUGGUCGUUCCUCUGGCUUCCCGCCGCUUCGCGCUCCACAAGCACGCAUGCUCACACCCUGAGAAACACGAGCACAGGGGAGCCUCAGGACAGCACUGACAGGCGGGCUCUCAGAUCAGCAAGGGGCAAAACACGGUCUGUACGACAUUCUUGCUAUUUUUUGUCUUUUUAGGGCUGCACCCAUGGCAAAUGGAAGUUCCCAGACUAGGGGU
rnacentral:lncRNA from 1 species